rnacentral:rRNA from 1 species
GUUAAAAAGCUCGUAGUCGGAUUUCAGUAUUAGGCCCUUCUUCCAAUACGGUUGCUAGUGGUCUUUACUUCCUUAACAGAAUCUUUCAUCUCAUUAAUUUGGGGUGUUUGGGGCCUGUUUCUUUUACUUUGAGAAAAUUAGAGUGUUCAAAGCGGGUUUUCGCCUGGAUAUUACUCUUGGAAUAAUAAUAUAGGACUUUGGUUCUUUUUUGUUGGUGACUUAGAACCGAAGUAAUGAUUGAUAGGGACAGUUGGGGUCAUUCGUACUAUGAAGCGAGAGGUGAAAUUCAUGGACCUUUGUAUGACGAACUACUGCGAAAGCAUUUGACUAGGAUGUUCCCGUUGAUCAAGAACGAAAGUUGGGGGAUCGAAGACGAUCAGAUACCGUCGUAGUCUCAACCAUAAACUAUGCCAGCUAGGGAUUGGAGGAAGAUCAUUUUACGUCUCCUUCAGCACCUUAUGAGAAAUCAAAGCAUUUGGGUUCCGGGGGGAGUAUGGUCGCAAGGCUGAAACUUAAAGGAGUUGACGGGAGGGCACCACCAGGAGUGGAGCCUGCGGCUUAAU